GCAAUAGGCUUAGAACUCCACAAGCACUCCUGAAGCCAAGCUAAUGCUCCCUCCGUAUUCGUCUUGGGGAAGUACUAUGUGUAGAACUUGUGUAUGAAGGCUUAUUUUGCUUGCCGGAGAAAAUAUGCAAUCUGCUUUGCAAAAAAGCUUAACUAAUGCAUAUAUUAAUCAUGUGCUAAUGCAGAUCGCUGGUACUGAUAUGCUUUUCUUCGAACCAGUUCUGUGAUUCAGGAUUUCUAGGAAAUGUACAUAUAUUGAAUGCAACUGGCUUUAACUUCAAAACUAAAACACACCAACAGCUACUAAGCUGAAAAAGUUCAGUAAUUUGGUCUAAAUGCAUGCUUUGGCAAAGGUAUAAAUAUUAGAAGCAGCUGCAUAGAUUCCACAGUUUGUAAUAAAAUCUGUGAAGGUAUAA
rnacentral:lncRNA from 1 species